UGCUGAGUAGCUCAGUGGUAGAAACAGUUGCUUUGAGUGUAAGCUGAGCUAUAUGGCCUGGGUUCAAUCCCAGCUCUGUUG